AUCACCCUGCUAUGUUCGUAAUGUUGUUGGCCAUUUUUGAACCAACACAUCUUUAUCGGGAUCCGAUUCUCGCUUGAGGGAUUUGAGACCUUCUUCCAGCUUCGGCGUUAAUUAGGGACGAGGAAAUCAAGCGGAGGAGCCCACCUGCUUAGGCAGGUUCAAACUUAGCCGGCAUUACGGCGGUGCGGGGAUAAA
rnacentral:other from 1 species